UACGAAGGGGGCUAGCGUUGCUCGGAAUCACUGGGCGUAAGGGGCGCGUAGGCGGCCAUUCAAGUCGGGGGUGAAAGCCUGUGGCUCAACCACAGAAUUGCCUUCGAUACUGUUUGGCUUGAGUAUGGCAGAGGUCAGUGGAACUGCGAGUGUAGAGGUGAAAUUCGUAGAUAUUCGCAAGAACACCAGUGGCGAAGGCGGCUGACUGGGCCAUUACUGACGCUGAGGCGCGAAAAGCGUGGGGAGCAACAGG
rnacentral:rRNA from 1 species